rnacentral:lncRNA from 1 species
GCCUUAGACCAACUGCUUUAUUGAUUGGUCCAAAUUUGUGGCAUGUUUUUCAGAAAGACUAAUGAUGGGUUGGAGCACAGAAAUGUCAUAUUUCAAUCACGACAUGAGAAAUGGUUGGAUUGCCUGUCCUAUUAGGAGAUUCUCGACUGACAUUUUAUCGUGUUAUUGUGUCCACGCUAUUUAGUUCCUCCUGGAGCCUACUGAAUUUCACAUGCACUGCUUCAAUCAGCUCCUGCAGAGUGGAUAACUUACCUAGGGAUCCAGGCAUUACUGGACAAGCAGCCAAUCCAUGAACAGGGACAGACUGGCUUUAUUUAUAUUUAAUUUUAUUUUUAUAUUUUCUGCAUUUCAAAAUAUAGGUAUUCAAUAUAUUAUAGCAAUCCAUUGGAAAGUGAAAAACAGUUUUCUGUAGGAAAUAUAUAUCUUAAUCUAAAAUGAAAGGUUUAUGUAGAAAUGAACCUACCUGCUGGCUUUUCUUUCCUCAUCCAAUAAGGCUUACAUUGUGACUUUAGCAUUUUCCUAUCUCUAAAACCCAGUGUUUUCUACUACAUAUUUCUUUAAUGUAAACUUAUUUGUGUAGAUAGAUAUGAGAAAACAGCUUAAAAUAUUGUUCUGGGAACAUAUUUUAUAGUAGAAUAUACACUGUUAUAUGCAAAAAUUAAAAUGUACAAAAUAGAAAUUAUUCUGGGAAUCAGAAUGCUACUUUUUUUGGACAUUAUUGUAACUUUAAUGUUGAUUGGACGAGGGGUGGAACCUCAGAUUUACUAAGGAAGAACAAAAGGAAUUUAUUUAAUGAGCUUUAAACUAGUUGCAAAUUGGUAAUUUAUCCUGUACAUCAUAAAGGUACCAUUCUGCUAUCAGUUUAAAAGAAGAACUUAGUAGACUCUUAACUGAUUUUAAUAAUAUUGGAGAAUUUUAAAAACUGUUAUAAAUCAGAUGGUGUCCUAGAAUAGCAACAAAAUUUGGCUAUUUUUUCAGAUGUGUGUACUCAAGAUAAAAUUAGGUGUCAAUAUUUGCAGUUAGGUAAUAGAGGUAGGCAAUAAAGGAAAAAAAUGUUACAUUGUCCUGUUUUAUGAAAUGUUGGUAUUACUGCCAAACAUUGGCACUAUUGCCAUAAUACUGAAAGUUAUUUUUAAUGUUUUAUUUAGAGCAAUGUAUCAGAAUUUCAAUGUAAAUUUAGAAGACUCAUUUUAUAAACUGAAAGAGUAAAUAUAUACGUUUAAGUGUUGAAGUAUUAAGUUUUAGAAUUUUUUGUUUCAUUUUGAAAAUAUGUAACAACUAAAUUAAGUUUUUGAUUAUGAUGUGGUUAAUAACUAAAUACAUAUGCAUCUAAAGAUUAAGCAACUAGAAUAAAUUGGGAGUUUUAUGACUUCUGAUACUUUCAUUCAAUGUUCUGUGUGAGAAAGAUAUGAAUAUAUGUGAGGAUGAAUUGUUUUGUGUUGCUUGAGAACUUUGCUAUUUUUAAAAAUUCAUUUUUUUUUUCUGAUUACAAAAUUGUUUUUCAUCUCUCCACCUGAGUUUGAGUUGAUUUCUUUUAAGCAACAUUAGGUGAGGUAGGUAAUCAGUGGCAUUUAAUUUGUGUAAAGGAUAGUUAGAGCUUUAGACUCUUCUAGUAAAACCAGAAGUCCAUUGACAUUUUGUUUCUAUUUUGGUUUAAAUCCACAUCUAUCCUGUUUAUUCAUCUCUGUUCGACUAAUAGUGUGAAACAACUUUUCUUUGCAGAUUUUAUACAGGCUAGCAAUUUUUCUUAAUAAUAAUGAAUAUAAUAAUGAAUAAUAAUAAUGAAUAUAUUGUAUUCCUUAUCUUCACAUUAAGUAGCAAGAGACUGUAACUUCAGUAGACUAAAAAGUAUUCUGUUGGCAUAUUUUCUACCAUAUGAUGCUAUUUUUUGCAGUUUUCAUGAGAGUUAAUAUUUCUCCCCUACGAAGAAAAAAAGUUAUGUAAUAGAUUAAAAUCAAAUUGUGUAAGUCCUACUUGAAUAUCAUGGUAAUUCAGGAGUGAAACUGUUUUAUUAUCAUUCUGAUAAGAAGUAGCAACAUUGUUUUUGGUGAGAGGAACUUACUUUUAGAGUUCAGCCAGACAGUUGGGUUAUAAGCUGUUUUAUAAAUAGAGCAUAUAAUACUACCAAGGAAGCCUGGAUUUUAAAAAAUAUACUGAUUCUGAUUUAGCUGAACUUAAAAGUUUUUGCAUUCAUCUAUAAAACUAUCUUUCUAGUGAAUAGAAAUACACUUCAGAAAGUAAGAAUCUGACGCAUAAGUUAAGUUGUUAUAAAAUGACUUAAAAUUAGUUACUUCUUAGUUAUUUUGAACACUGGGACAAUUUUUUAACGUUUAUUUCUAAGUUGCAUGACAUUUUUGUAAUACUGAAUGUAGGAAUGUUAAUUUUUAACAUUUUAGCAACAUUUAAAAAAGAAUUUUAGCAAAGUCUUCUCUAGAAUGAAUGGUCAAUCUUUAUCAGUCUUAAUUUUGGCUACUUUCUAAAAGAAUUUUAUUUUCCUCUGCACAGUAGAAACAAAAAAUAUGUUUAUGCAUUGGGUUUCCUGAUGUUUAAUUUUUAAAAUUGCCACACAGUAUUAAAAUUAUUUCAUUGUACUAAAAAUGCAUUGGGGAAUAUUUAUUUUCUUUAUAAAUGGAGAUUGAGCACCACCUGUUGGCCAAACUGAAUGUAUUUUAAUUUGUUAAUUCAAAAGUAUUUUUAUCAUUGUUGUUAAAUGAUUAUAUUCUUAACUGUCGGGUUCUUGCAUAUUAUAUAAUUCUGUCACAAUAUAGAUGUAUGUCUACAAACUGCAUCUCAUUAAAUUUACCAGAAUGACUUUAUUGUAGAUUAUAAAAUUAUCUACUGUUAUCACCUUAAGUAUUUGAUUUCUUAACCUUGCUAUAUGUUACUGAAUUGUAAGUUACUCUCUAAGAAAGUGAUUGUUCUUAAUCCUGUGUUUUAAAUAAAAUAUUGAAGGAAAUUACUUUAUAUGCUUUAUGUAGAAAUUAUCACCUUGAGGAAGAACAUUACCUGAAUAAUGCUACAUUUAAUUUUUAAGAAAAAUUUAAUACUUUUUCAUUUGUUUUUCUUCUUUAAUAGCAUUUUGAAGUAAAACAGUCUAAAUUAUUGAGUGACAAUGAAAUUUUUGUAUUAAAACUUUACUAUUGUUUAUUGAAAUUAUGUGUUUUUAUAACUGGACUUUUAUCACAUUAAACGUGUUAUUUUGUUUUAAAUAGAAUGUGUUAUUUUAAAUUCACACAA